rnacentral:lncRNA from 1 species
CAUCCAUAAGAUUGUUUGACCAUACAAUUUGUUUGGUAAAUAUCCAUAAUGCCUAAUUCAUUCUCUAUUCAUAAACUCAAUAAAAUUUAAAAGGGACAUAACAUCAGUAUAGUAUCAGCCCCAAACAUGGACUAUACCAACAAACAUGCAUAAUAAUGUAAAUAAGAAUAAUUUCAGUAUCCAAAUAUCAGGUCAACAAUCAUUUCAAAUCCUAUUCUCAUUCUUCUUUGUACUUUCUUCAUCAUCUUUCCCAUCUCUCUCUUCCAACAAUUUCCCAGCCUCAGAAUCAUCUUCCUGCUGAACCCUGACCUUUUGUGCCUCAGAAGCCUUAAGUGCCACCAACUUACAGUGAUUAUAAUAAGCAACCCCCAAAAAUGCAAGUCCAUAACCAAUCAAAUUGAGUGGUGUAACAGUAUCCUUAAUCACUGACCAAGAAAAUGCAAUAAGCAACCAAUCCUUCACAACACCAGCAACAUUCAUCGUCAAAGCCGAAGUCUUCCCAACAAGCAAAAACACAGCAAGGUUCAAAGCAAAAGCACACAACGAAUUACUUCCGAAAACCCAAAAAUCAAAACUCAAACUUGCUUUAUCCCUCAACAAAGGAUACUCCAUAACGAACCAAGGAAACGACAAAAAAACCAAACAACAAGGAGCAAUGUAGUAAAGCGAGGUAAUAGGAUUCAACUUAAUCCCUUUCGAGUUCAAAAGAAUUUGAAUUAAAACCAACCUCGUGGCUUCAAACGCUACAGCCAUGAGCUGUAGCGUAACACCAAAGACAUCAAACUUGGCUUCGCCAUAGGCAGCUACAGCGACGCCAAGUGAUAUAGAAACCAUGUUGAUCAUGGUUUCUUUUUUAAACGAUUCUUUUUUAAAAGAAACCCCGAUGGAGUAAACGGCCACGGGCAUAAGAGCUUUUAGCAUUUGAAUGAAUGAAACUGACAAGUAAAUGUAAGCAGAGUUUGAGAACCAAAGGGAAAGAGAGUAAAGUGCACCAAUAGGGACCACUGAUUUAAGGUAUGUGUCUAAAGACAUUGAAAUUGGGUCAACUACUUUGAAGAUGUUUACAAGGAUGUAAGCAAGGGAGGAACAAAAGGCCAUGUGGAUCAUUGUUAGUGAUAUUGGGAAUGGCCAAUUGUACAUUUUUUGGUCUAGGAUGUAUUUGUUGUAGACAAUUACUGAGAAACUUAAGAAAAUCCAUAUGGCUACAUAUGUGUAUGAUAGAAGCACUUUUUUCAUCACACCCUCUGAUACUGCCAUGUUUGUUGUUGAGAAUUAGGUUUGGGGAUGAAGUUAUAUGAUUAUGAAGGAGAUUUGAGAUAUGAUGAGGGUUUAAUUGGAAGGAUUUUUUUUUUUGAUUAUUUGGGAUUUGAGAGUUUGAAUUUGAGGAGGAAGGUAUGCAUUGAAAAAUUUGAUUUGAUGAGUUAAUUGUGCUGUUUGGUAGUGUGGAAUGAGAUUUGGACUAUUUAAGGUUUGUUGAGCUUUCUUUUUCUGUAGUCUAAGCAAAAAACGUACGACUUCUUUUGAGUGAUUAUCGUUGACGUUUUUGUUUGGUGAAUUACCAUAUUUUGGUGUUUCAUUCAUUGCU